UUUAGGAAAAGGAAAACUGCUCGAAAGAGUAGGGCUCAAAGCUGUGAACCUAAACCUUCUGCCGUGGCGGAAGAUAGGUUGUCUAGCUGCCGUU
rnacentral:ncRNA from 1 species